UACGAAGGGGGCUAGCGUUGCUCGGAAUCACUGGGCGUAAAGCGCACGUAGGCGGAUUGCUAAGUCAGGGGUGAAAUCCUGGAGCUCAACUCCAGAACUGCCCUUGAUACUGGCGGUCUCGAGUCCGGGAGAGGUGAGUGGAACUGCGAGUGUAGAGGUGAAAUUCGUAGAUAUUCGCAAGAACACCAGUGGCGAAGGCGGCUCACUGGCCCGGGUACUGAACGCUGAGGUGCGAAAGCGUGGGGAGCAAACGG
rnacentral:rRNA from 1 species